rnacentral:rRNA from 1 species
CCUACGGGAGGCAGCAGUGGGGAAUAUUGAACAAUGGGGGGAACCCUGAUCCAGCCAUGCCGCGUGUGUGAAGAAGGCCCUCGGGUUGUAAAGCACUUUCAGUGAGGAAGAACGCCUGGUGGUUAAUACCCAUCAGGAAAGACAUCACUCACAGAAGAAGCACCGGCUAACUCCGUGCCAGCAGCCGCGGUAAUACGGAGGGUGCGAGCGUUAAUCGGAAUUACUGGGCGUAAAGCGCGCGUAGGUGGCUUGAUAAGCCGGUUGUGAAAGCCCCGGGCUCAACCUGGGAACGGCAUCCGGAACUGUCAAGCUAGAGUGCAGGAGAGGAAGGUAGAAUUCCCGGUGUAGCGGUGAAAUGCGUAGAGAUCGGGAGGAAUACCAGUGGCGAAGGCGGCCUUCUGGACUGACACUGACACUGAGGUGCGAAAGCGUGGGUAGCAAACAGGAUUAGAUACCCGGGUAGUC